UACGAACUGUGCGAACGUUAUUCGGAGUCACUGGGCUUAAAGGGUGCGUAGGCGGCUGCCUAAGUCAGGUGUGAAAUCUCCCGGCUCAACCGGGAAACUGCGCUUGAUACUGGGCGGCUCGAGUGAGGUAGGGGUGUGUGGAACUUCCGGUGGAGCGGUGAAAUGUGUAGAUAUCGGAAGGAACGCCAGCAGCGAAAGCGGCACACUGGGCCUUUUCUGACGCUGAGGCACGAAAGCCAGGGGAGCGAACGGG
rnacentral:rRNA from 1 species